GCGCGUAAAUUGCCCGAAUCCUGACACAGGGAGGUAGUGACAAGAAAUAACAAUACAGGGCUACAUCUAGUCUUGUAAUUGGAAUGAGUACAAUUUACAUCUCUUCACGAUGAUCAAUUGGAGGGCAAGUCUGGUGCCAGCAGCCGCGGUAAUUCCAGCUCCAAUAGCGUAUAUUAAAGUUGUUGCAGUUAGAACGCUCGUAGUCGGAUUUCGGGGCGGGCCGACCGGUCUGCCGAUGGGUACGCACUGGUCGGCGCGUCCUUCCUUCCGGAGACCGUGCCUACUCUUAACUGAGCGGGGGCGGGAGACGGAUCGUUUACUUUGAAAAAAUCAGAGUGUUUCAAGCAGGCAGCUCGCUCUUGCAUGGAUUAGCAUGGGAUAAUGAAAUAGGACUUUGGUGCUAUUUUGUUGGUUUCGAACACCGAAGUAAUGAUUAACAGGGACAGUCAGGGGCACUCGUAUUCC
rnacentral:rRNA from 1 species